UACGUAGGGGGCGAGCGUUGUCCGGAUUUAUUGGGCGUAAAGAGCGUGUAGGCGGCUCGAUAAGUCUGCUGUGAAAGUCCAGGGCUCAACCCUGGAAGGCCGGUGGAAACUGUCGAGCUAGAGUCCGGAAGAGGCGAGUGGAAUUCCCGGUGUAGCGGUGAAAUGCGCAGAUAUCAGGAGGAACACCAAUAGCGAAGGCAGCUCGCUGGGACGGUACUGACGCUAAGGCGCGAAAGCGUGGGGAGCGAACAGG
rnacentral:rRNA from 1 species